rnacentral:rRNA from 1 species
GAGGGGGAUAACUACUGGAAACGGUAGCUAAUACCGCAUAACGUCGCAAGACCAAAGAGGGGGACCUUCGGGCCUCUUGCCAUCGGAUGUGCCCAGAUGGGAUUAGCUAGUAGGUGGGGUAACGGCUCACCUAGGCGACGAUCCCUAGCUGGUCUGAGAGGAUGACCAGCCACACUGGAACUGAGACACGGUCCAGACUCCUACGGGAGGCAGCAGUGGGGAAUAUUGCACAAUGGGCGCAAGCCUGAUGCAGCCAUGCCGCGUGUAUGAAGAAGGCCUUCGGGUUGUAAAGUACUUUCAGCGGGGAGGAAGGGAGUAAAGUUAAUACCUUUGCUCAUUGACGUUACCCGCAGAAGAAGCACCGGCUAACUCCGUGCCAGCAGCCGCGGUAAUACGGAGGGUGCAAGCGUUAAUCGGAAUUACUGGGCGUAAAGCGCACGCAGGCGGUUUGUUAAGUCAGAUGUGAAAUCCCCGGGCUCAACCUGGGAACUGCAUCUGAUACUGGCA